rnacentral:rRNA from 1 species
GAUGAACGCUGGCGGCGUGCCUAAUACAUGCAAGUCGAGCGAACGGACGAGAAGCUUGCUUCUCUGAUGUUAGCGGCGGACGGGUGAGUAACACGUGGAUAACCUACCUAUAAGACUGGGAUAACUUCGGGAAACCGGAGCUAAUACCGGAUAAUAUUUUGAACCGCAUGGUUCAAAAGUGAAAGACGGUCUUGCUGUCACUUAUCGAUGGAUCCGCGCUGCAUUAGCUAGUUGGUAAGGUAACGGCUUACCAAGGCAACGAUGCAUAGCCGACCUGAGAGGGUGAUCGGCCACACUGGAACUGAGACACGGUCCAGACUCCUACGGGAGGCAGCAGUAGGGAAUCUUCCGCAAUGGGCGAAAGCCUGACGGAGCAACGCCGCGUGAGUGAUGAAGGUCUUCGGAUCGUAAAACUCUGUUAUGAGGGAAGAACAUAUGUGUAAGUAACUGUGCACAUCUUGACGGUACCUAAUCAGAAAGCCACGGCUAACUACGUG